rnacentral:misc_RNA from 1 species
CAUUAUCUUUCGGAUAACCUCUAACAUUUUAUUACUAAACAAAAAAUAUUAAUCAAUUAGGUAGCUAUAUAUUCAACUGUUUCAUUUAAUAAUUAUGUGUUUUAGAUUAAAAAUAGUAUAGAACAGUCAAAAUGAAUGGUAUAUUGUUUGCCUUGGUGGCGAGUGUGUGCCUGGGAGGGGCAUUUUGCAUCCCUGGUUUAGUUGUAAGGGGUAUUCGUAGUGCAAAAGAGGGUCUCGAUGGCCAGGAAGCACAAAACCAAGAUCCAAUUAUCUCGGAAUUCAACAUACAUUCCAACAUCUCGAACAGAUUUGCCAAGACUUUGGUCACUAGUAAAGUUAAAAAUGCAGAAAAGAAUCCAAAAGAAGCCACGUUUACCGUGGUUUUACCAGAAAAAGCAUUUAUUUCCAAAUUUGUAAUGGAAAUAGGUGGCAAGAGCUACGAGGCUUAUGUUAAAGAAAAAGAAGAAGCUAAAAAUAUCUACGAUUCGGCUGUUCGGCAAGGAAUAAGUGCUGGUCACGUCUCAGUUAGUGCUCGAGACUCCAACAGAUUCACAGUAUCUAUCAACGUUGAACCAGAAAGUAAAGCAACUUUCCAUCUUACCUAUGAAGAACUUUUGGAAAGAAAAAAUAACCAGUACGAGCUGGUACUGAAUAUUCACCCUGGCCAAGUAGUUAAAGAUAUGAAUAUUGAGGUCUUUGUGAAUGAAAGUCGUCCUUUGAAAUUUGUAAAAACUCCUUCGCUGAGGUCGGGAAACGAAAUUAGCAAAAACGAUGCCAACCUUGACCCAGCUGCAGACAUCCAAAUAAUCAACUCUACCAGUGCUGUCGUUAAAUUCAAACCAAACUCCGACAAACAGAGGGAGUUUGCAAAAGAACUGGGGCAGAAAGAAAAUGAGGGUAUAGCUGGACAAUUUGUUGUACAGUAUGAUGUAGAUAGAGAUUCUCAAAAAGGAGAGAUUCUUCUCAAAGAUGGAUACUUCGUACAUUUCUUUGCUCCUGAAGACGUCGAACCACUUCCAAAACAUGUAGUUUUCAUCUUGGACACCAGCGGAAGUAUGUAUGGAAGAAAACUCAGGCAAAUGAAGGAAGCCAUGGGUAGUAUUUUAGAUCAGCUCAAAGAUACAGAUGCCUUCCAUAUAGUGGAAUUUAAUAGUGAUAUCUUAGUUUGGAAUAUAGAUUCAGAAUCAAAAACCAGUUUGAGGGUUCACAAUGAAAGAGAGCCUUUUGAAGAACUUUCUAAACUUGAAUUGCCAAACGCCUUAGCAGCUACCAAAGAAGCUAUUUCUAAAGGAAAAGCAGUAAUAGAGAAGCUUCAAGACACUGGAUUGACGAACAUGUUAGGUAGUAUCGAAACUGGUCUGCAUUUAGUCCACAAAGAACUGAAAAGUGGGUCAAAACGUCAACCACUCAUUAUCUUUUUGACAGACGGAGACCCGACCAUGGGAAUUUCAAAUACUGAAGAGAUUACCAAGAUUGUAACCAAAAUCAACGGCGAUAGAGACCACGUACCAAUCUUUUCUCUAUCAUUUGGAGACGGAGCAGACAAAAAGUUCUUAAGAAAACUAUCAUUGAAGAACCUAGGAUUUGCCAGACACAUUUAUGAAGGAGCUGACGCUGCUAUUCAACUCCAGGAGUUUUACAAGCAAAUCUCUUCUCCACUUUUAUCAAACAUCGAAUUUGAGUACACUGACGACGUCACUGAAGUAUCCAAAAAGACGUUCCCUAUUUACUUUAAGGGAUCAGAGUUGGUAGUUACCGGAAAGUAUCCAAUCGACGAAGGAUUUGACAUCUCCAAUUGGAGAGUAAAGAGUUGGAGCAAACACGGUCUCAUCUCACUACCACCAGUAAGGGAAGCUCCAGUUACCGAAUUGGAACGUUUGUGGGCCUAUUUAACCAUCAAGCAAAAACUGGAACAACGAGAGUUAGCAGAAAAUAAAACACAGCUAACCAAGGAAGCUCUGGAUCUGGCGCUGAAAUAUUCCUUUGUUACUGAUGUUAGUUCCUUGGUAGUUGUCAAACCGAAUCAAACCAGUGCUGUUAAUACUGAAGAUGCUUCAAAACCAAGAUCUGAAACGCUUCCAUUAAGAACGUACAGUAGUGGGUCAGUUUCAUAUGGUAUGCCAGGCUUGCCAGGACCACCAGCACAAGCUUUUGGUGCACGUUCAUAUUUUGGAUAGAUGCCGAUGGAAGGAGUUUAGAGAGGCCUAUGUCCAAACGUGGACGAUAGAAGGCUAAGAAGAAGAUGGAAUCCAACCGCAGACACGUGUUUCUGACUCACUACUCGUCAUUAGACGGUAUAGCGUAGUUAGAAUAGUUAUAUAUCUUAACUUGGGAAAGGAUCACGACAUGAGGAAUGUAAUCUUGCAAACUUAAAAAUGUUUUCCCGAUGAAUAAUAACUUAUUUUUCCACCUACCUCUACCGAAAGUAUACUUUUCCGGACCUGAUUGUAGGGAGCAAAGUUGUACUUUUCCUCCCUAGGGAGGAAAAGUAAAAGUGACGUCAUGGUAUUUCAUUCAUGAAAUAUAACUUAUUGACGCCCUGUACAAUAUCUAUUUUCUAUUACAUCCUCAGCCAAGAUCGGGUGGAGGUGGAGCAUAUCAACCUCUUUCGCUAUCAGGU